rnacentral:lncRNA from 1 species
AUCUUCCAAGAAAUAUUCGUCUUUCAAUGCAUGUGAAAAAUCCUCCCAUGAAUUCCCACAACGAUCCGUAAUCGAUGUAAUGUAGUCCCUUAUCUCCGGUAUCGUGGCAAGUCCAAAUAGUGCAACCAUUUUCUUCUCUGAAACCCGAUUUAAUUCCAUUUCACGAACAUAACAUCUUAAAUACCUUGAAAUAUUCCUCCCAU